CGACGAAGAAGAAUCCAGAACCCUGAGAGUCAUUUUGCAGCAGCUCUCGCCAGAACCAGGAUAUGUAUCGUAGUUGAGUUUCUCGACUUUACAAAACUCUACCGCUCCUAGGUUUCGAGGAAGGUACCUUGAUCGGUCGCUGUCAUUUAAUUCUCUACUGUCUAGGAACUCUUUAUGACCCUAAGAAACGACAACCAGAGAAAGCUGUCAUUUAAUUCUCUUGAUCUAAGUAAUUAAUACAUGAAACUACCAGCCAAAAGAAAAGAACAUACCUGCUUGAAGUAAACAACUUCAUCCCCAAGCUGGGGUAUAUAACGGCAGCCUUGCUCGUGUUCUGACAACAUCAACCAUGAGACUUUCCUUGCCACAUUAUUCAACCUUAUCCCGGUAUUAAGACUUUGUUUGCUGGUACUUGCAGACCGGGACCUUGAAGUAGAAGGCCAUUCUUCAAGUGAUGCACCAUCAUACGCGCUUGUGGAAGGAAUUUCUUGUUUCUUUACUUUAUCUAUAGACCUCAAACGUAAUACACUGUUUCUUGCAC
rnacentral:lncRNA from 1 species